UGAGUUUAGGUUUCAUGUUACUUCAUUUUACUACAACUUUUUUUGUUCUAAAAUAAUAAUUUCUCAGUUUUCAACAUUUAAAUCGGCUAACCCUAGUUCUGAACGCAGUCUUCUGAUGCCUUCAAUUUUUCGGUGAUUCAAUCUAUUUUCUUUAUCAAUUUCUCUCAUCUUCAAUUUCAAUUUUCUGUAUUUUCUUGUUGUAGUUUAAGUUGUUUUUUCAUGUCAUGCUUUCUUAGUCAUUUUUAGUACUUCAAUUAACAUGGAGGUUGUGUCCCUUGCUUCUUUUAGGAUUGGGUUAUUGGAUUGAUAUCCUUCUUUCGUGAUUAAGGAAACUGAGUUGGGGAGGCAGGCUCAGUAAUUAGCACAAAGGAUUUCCAAUCGACUACAGUCAAAUUUGUUUAGAUGUCAUUGAAGAUGCAACAAAUGAGAAAUGUUGUGUGCAGGUGCUACAGUAUCUGAUAGCUAAAGCAGAUGCGGAAAUUCAUGAUCUUGAAGACGAACUGGCUAUGAAGUGGGCUGAAUCAGAUGAGCAGAAGGAUCCCUAAGAAGUCUGUUGUGCCACUUUCCAGCAGAAGAUAGAUUUGUUGACUAAAUCAGUUAACAACGUGAGAAAUAGAAAUAUAUUAAACGAGCAUGACAUCACCACAACAAAAAUCCGAGCGCCAGCUGAGAGAAUCUAUGACAUCAUUAGUGCUUUAAUUGAGCAGAACUUUUCAGCGCCUAAUGAACAGGUGGAAGACAUUUUUGAUGAAAUGAAUUUGCUUGUGUAUUCUGGCUCAGUAGACAUCAGGAUGGAGAAAGAAACAACUCCGGAAUCAUUUGCUGAGUCCAAGGAACUGUUGGAAGACAUUGAAAAGCAGAAGGAGCUGUCGGAAGAUAUUGAAAAGCAGUACAAGCCUGCAGCCACUGUUUCUGAAGAAUCUUGUUCAGACACUGCCAGAUAUGUAAUAAAGGACUCCAUUGAGGCUAGAGAUAUCGGCAAGACUGAUGUUGAAGUGACUGGGAAAAG